AAAUUCAAUAUUAGAAGAUGAAAUUAUAAGUCUGAAAGAGACAGCCGAAAAGGAUCAUAAAACCAUUCAAAAGCUAAUUGGUGGUAGAGACAAAUUAAUAUAUGAGCUUGAGUUUGAAAAAUCAUUAGUUCAAGAAAUGGUUAAUAAACAGAAAGAAGACAUUGAAAUGAGAAAAAAGUUUGAUACCAUAGGCAUCAAGAGUCCCAGAGCCGUCAAAGGAAAAGAAAUCACUUUGUCCCCAUGGCCCUCCCAGCCCAAGAGUGCAGGUGUUUUUAGGCCUCAUUCUUCUUCCAUCGCUUCACUGACUCCAAAAACCAAAAGAAUCAAGAGUCUAAAGAAGGCAGCAAAGGAAGAGCAGCCUAUGGUUAAACAUGUAAUACCUGCUGUGAUGCAUGGAGAAGAGGCAGGACUAUCAGUGGCUAAGAUCAAAGAAGAGAAACAUGCUUUGGAAGAGCAAGUAGAAAUAUUAAAGGCUAAGUUAGAGAGAGAGAGAAAGAAGUCAGAAAGGUUUAAGAAGGAAUUGGAUCAGAUAAGCAAAAACUGGGAAAAGAAAUUAUUAAUUCU
rnacentral:lncRNA from 1 species